rnacentral:rRNA from 1 species
AUACGUAGGUGGCAAGCGUUGUCCGGAUUUACUGGGUGUAAAGGGCGUGUAGCCGGGAAGGCAAGUCAGAUGUGAAAUCUGGAGGCUCAACCUCCAAACUGCAUUUGAAACUGCUUUUCUUGAGUGUCGGAGAGGUAAUCGGAAUUCCUUGUGUAGCGGUGAAAUGCGUAGAUAUAAGGAAGAACACCAGUGGCGAAGGCGACUUCCUGGACUGUAACUGACACUGAGGCACGAAAGCGUGGGGAGC